rnacentral:lncRNA from 1 species
GUUAGCUAUAUAGUCAUUUGGAAUAGUAUUUGGAAUGUUUUUUUAGUUUUGUUGCAUUCGGCUUGGGCCUGUCCGUGGUCGACCCUAUUAUCCUUCAUAACUCAUCUUCUUGGUCCAUCAUGUUCAACUCUUCAACCUGUACACAGAAAAUACCACAUAAGUUAUAUCUAGAGAGGAAAACAUCACUUUCCCCUUCAAUUCCUCCCUAAUACAGGAACUCAUUUUUCACCUGAAACUUACUAAACCAAUUGACACAGCAUUGAAGAAGGGAACUUCGUCUCCCUCCUUCAUGCAUCAUUCAUCACCCAAACUCAUCCCCAC